AUCUGGAACCAGUCGUGCUUGUGCAUGUUCUUCACUUUAAUCCGCUUUUUGUCUUUGAACUGCAGGCUGUAUCGCAUCAGACGACACAACUCGUCGGAAAAUUCCCGAUCACUCCAGCUGGCGUCGUACAUGUUGUGCAGUUCGAAAGCGAACGGAAAGCGUCCGUGCAACAGGCGGAACAGCAGCAUCCCGAGAGACCACACCGUCGCCGGCUUUCCGCGGUAUCUGUUGCUGAUGAACACUUCGAUGGGUAAAUAGGGCUCUGUGCCGGUGAUUUUCUUCACGUAGCCUCUCUUGAGUCGGAGCCGAAGUCGAUGAGUUUGACCUUUAAGGUCUUUGGGUUCACCAGCAGGUUUUCCAGUUUAAUGUCGCGGUGGAAAACCCCUCUCUUACAGCACUCCUGCGCAGCUGUGAGCGCCUGUCGCAUGAUGCGGGCCGCUCGAGGAUCAAGAUGUAGCGAUCGGGUUCCUCGAACCACUCCGGCAGCUGGAGGAUCUCAGGCCGACGAGACCACUGAUAUUGCCACACAGUGCCAACUUGUGCUUGUGCUGCGCUACAUUGCUGGCAAAAGCAACGUACAGGAGAUGUUUUUUGCUUUUAUUCAUCUGCGUUCAACUACAGCUGAUUCCAUCGCUACAGCACCAAAAGAGCAUCUUACUGUCAUCCUUCCAGAGGAUCAGAAGAGUAAACUCAUCUCCCAAGCGUAUGAUGGAGCCAGCGUGAUGAGAGGUGCCACUGCAGGUGUUCAAAGGAAGAUUCAAGAUGUGUACCCAAAUGCCCAUUACAUCCACUGCUAUGCUCAUCAGCUCAAUCUAAUAAUGCAAAAGGCCACUUCUCACAUACCCAAAGUUAGAGUUUUUUUUUCUAACCUUGGAGGAUUUGGCAGCUUUUUUUCAAGAUCCACCAAGCGCACAGAUGUUCUUGAUAAAGUAGUUGCCCAUAGACUACCAACAUCAAGCAGUGUUAGAUGGAACUUCCACAGCCGUGCCAUCAUCGUGUUUGAGCACAGAGAGGGCCUCAUUCGCUGUUUUGAAACUAUUGGAGACUCAGGUGACUUUGACCCUGUUACCACCACAGAGGCAGGAGGCUUUGCCAUGCUGCUGGAGGAUCAGGAUUUUCCUUUUUUUUGCAACUUUCCACAACAUCAUGCCACACGUGGACAUCCUCUAUGCCAAACUCCAGAAGGACAUCGAUUCAGUCCACAUUAAGGGGAGGUUCCAGCAGGACAUACAGAAGAUCAGAAAUUCUCUCCAUUCUCUGGUUAACCAAAGCAGUGAAGGAGCUUCUCAACCAAAGAGGCGGCGGUCGCUUAGUCCAGACGUCCAUGAACGGAUUGCAACGGAGGUCUGUGACACCAUACUCCAACACACCAUGGAACGGUUCUGCUUCACAAGCCACCUCGUUAGUGCCACCCUGCUGCAAGCAGACAGGUUUGAACAGUACACAGUGGCGUUUCCUGAAGAUGCACUGAGUAGGACUUUGAAGGCCUAUCCAGUGCUCAAUGAGAGUAAGCUAGAGACAGAGCUUAGUCUCAUCUACUACAAGGAAGAGUUCAGAACCUGUUGUGGUGCUGUGGACCUACUGCAGCUGUUUAAGGAGAACAAUCUUGAAGAAGUCUUUUCAGAGACUAAAGAUCCUCAUCACCACACCCAUGACCACAGCAGAGGCUGAGAGGUGUUUCUCAACUUUGAAAAGAGUUAAGACUUUUCUGAGAAAUAGCAUGACCCAGGAGAGGCUAAAUGCAUUGGCCAUGCUGUCAAUGGAGAAGAGAAUGGUGACUGAGAUCAUUGACUUUAACCAGAAGGUCAUUGAGAAAUUUGCAAGUCAGAAAGAAAGGAGAGCAAAAUUUAUUUUCAAAUAGUGUUAAUGGCCAAUGAUUAGGUAACUAUAGUGUGUUGUGUUUUUUUUAAAUGAUUACCUUGAUUACUUCAUUACUGAUAAUAAACCCACAUUCAGUUCAAAUUCACUGAUUCAUAGUACAUUUAUUUGCAUGUAUUAACAUUGACUGUAAUAAUGACACAUCACCUGAUUAAUGGCUAUUUAUAGUUCUGCAUUACUGACAGUUGGAUUUUCAGUUUGUUUGCGCCCCCCAAAUAUUUUUAGCACCAGCCUCCACUGAUGCAAACAUUACACUUGAAUAAACGUGUUUUACCUCAGAAAGCGAACUUUCAUCGCUCGCGCUGUC